GAAAUAAUCAGACACAGCUGGGCAAAAUCAGGAAAGCACACGUGGAUAAUCAUGGGGCGUGGCACACACGAGGAGCGGACGAGCAGGGCAUGACACGUGUAUAUCAGUAUAAUUAAUUUUCCAAUUUUAGACAAAAACAACAAAAACAAAUAAAACAGGUGCAUUUUUACCAAUCUGAAUACAGCAAUCGUAAAAGGAAAAUGGAAGGAAAAGGAAAAUGGGUUUGUUUUCCAUUGACGUUGUGUCUGUUUUUAAGAAGUCAGAAGACGCCUCCUAUUCCGUUUGACUAUACUGUAAGUGAGUUAGGUGAUAGGUGUGCCAUCUGUUAUCGGCCAGCUCCAAAAACGAGAGAGGCGUGGCCAGGUUCAGAAGGCAAAGUCAACGGAGCAGCUGAGAAAUGGCAAGGGCAGGAUGUCCAGAGGACCUGUAGGGCAACCCCCCCGAACCUUACGGCACGCAACACCCCCCCACGCAAGAGUGAACCCAGGAAGUUGUUCACAAUCACAAACAUGAGCAAUACAAUCAAGGGCACUCAGAAAAAAAGCAACAGAAAACCAGGAAAAACAGAAACGAGUCGCGAGCAACCGAGGGUGUCUAGUUCUGGAGAAGGUGUCUGCCAUAAGGUUAUUGACCCCUUUCUUAUGUUUAAUCUCCAGGUUAAGUGACUGGAUGAUUAGAGCCCAGCGCAAUAAACGCUGGUUAGUGUUACACAUUCGGGUCAGGAAAACCAAAGGGUUAUGAUCAGUAUAUACGAUCACCAGAUGAGCACAAUCCUCUACAUACACUUCAAAGUUUUGCAAGGCUAAAAGAAGGGCUAGGGCUUCCUUCUCAAUCGCACUGUAUGCUAGUUCGUGUUUUAAAAACUUCUUGGAGAAGUAGCAGACAGGAUGGUCCAACGCGUGACUGUCUUUCAGGAGGAGGACAGCACCAGCACCCAAUCCGCUGGCAUCCAUUUCCAACUUGAAUGGUUUGGCGAAAUCCGGAGCAGCUAGAACGGGGGAGCUACUGAGCAACAUCUUAACCGAAUGAAAGACACACUGACAGGCUGGGGACCACCCUCAUGAAGCAAUUGGAUGGCCUGAACAUGGGAUACGAACUUGGAACUACCACCUGGAACACAGUAGCCCACGCAAAAGGUAGUGGAGACUAAACAGAUGACGGAGAAGAUGCUACCGGACGGGGAUGAACUUUUCGGGGUAGCGGAGUCGGUGUGAACACAGUCCUAUGGGUCAACACGAACUUAUCGGCAAGGGUGGCAGCUUCAGCUAGACGAGGGAAAGAAGUUGCUUUCUGCUCAUUCAGUUUCCUGGGAGCCUGGUGAACCGGAGGGAGAGCGGCGGCCAGGUCGAGGGUCAUCUGGGGCAUCAGCUCGGUCACGGGCAGACAGGCCUGAAUGAGGGGUUGUACCCGUUCCAGCUCCCUAAGCCGACUUGUGAGGAGCAGGUCCUCCCUGGCUGAGCAAGGAUCGCUGAGAUCCAUGCGGAUCCCCAGCCCCAGAUCGUCGCUGCUUGCUUCCGCUGCAGCCGACAACCGCACGGGAAUGUAUGCAACACCCGGCGAGCCGGCCAACUCGGGUAGGAUACCCUGCCGAAUCAGUUCGUCCUGCAGGACCUGUUUAAUACUUCGCCUCGGCUUUGAUUGUCCCAUGAAAUAUUCAUGUGGGCUGCUUUAGUUUCUGAGAUACAAAUGUUUGCUUACAUGUUGACAUUUGGGUGUCAUCCCGUCUCCCAUUACUUCCUAGGUUUGUUUUGAUUGCUAGUGUGUGCUCCUGUUCCCUGGGCUGAGUGUAUGGUUAUGAGAGAAGCAUCCCUAACCUACCAGAUUUAAGGCAGCCCUGGGGCCAGCCUGAAAUGUUUUUUAUGUAAUGGCUGUUUUUCUUUGUUUACUCCCAGUUAAAUUGUGUUGAUAUGUUUGUUAAUUCCUUGUUGAUUUGCUCCUUGCUAUCGCCUGCUUGAGGUAAUGUUUAGUUAACCCUUUUACAUUCCCUUUCCAUGGGCCAGAUUCUUGAAGCAGCAUAUCUUGCUGAGCCGGAUAACUUGUUGCAUUGUAAGGUAGUGUGGGCUAAAUAAAAGUAAAUGAAGAUACAGUUUAUUUAAAUGAGGUACCUUGAAUCUCAUAAGUUAUCCAGCUAAACAAAAAAGCCUGUACAGGAUACAGGUCCCAGCUUACCAGAACCAUGACAAACAAGACAAAAACUCCAGAUAACCAAGAACCACAAGCCUGAAAACAAGAUGCUAGUGGUCAAAACCACAAACCAGUGACAAUGCAACCUAAAAAUAAACUACACCUAGUCCCUGGGGUGCUGGUAGAGAUUUUGGCCCCCAACAAAGCAUGUCAUAUUGGGCCCCUAACCUAGAUCAAUCCAAUUACCUUCCAAAUUUUCCAUGUUCCUUGUCUCUCUGGGACCUCUGUAAUCGUCCUAUCUCCCACCCCCCUUUAUGGCACCCCUGCCCAGCCCCACUAAUCCAAAAGCUAAACUCUGAACCAAACCUAGCUCUGAGCCUCAGCCUCAUAAUGACUCAGCACCAGGCACCACUUAUAUAGGUCCAGCUUGUUCUGGGUCACAGAGACCUUGCUCAAUUACCUGAUUGCAAUGUAGCACAAUUACUGGAUGUAUUUUUUGCACAUUUUAUAGUUUGACAUAUUAUCUAAGCAUAAAAUUAGCUAGAAAUGUUACAGCUUAACCCACUACAAAAAUUUUGUCAUCUCUCUGAGACACCAGCAAAAAUACAUAUGCAAAAUGGUACAUUUACAUUUGUCCAAACGAGAUUCACUCAUUUUAAACACUAUUGAGGUCAACUUAAGACAUUAAAAGAAACCUAAAAUCCCUAAAGGAAAUGGCAAUUGUUAAGUUACCUUUUAAAACUGCUGCAGAAUCCCUGUAGAAGACAAUUUGCAUUGUAAGUGAUCCAUACUAGCAUCUGUCGAAAGUACUUAAACAUUAAAUACGGCACAAAGCCUCCCAGCUGACCAUAUUAUGUUUUACUGCUUCAUUCUGCUCGGAUCUUUUGAGACUUUAUUUGCUCUUACAAGUUACGAAUCUCAUCAAGGACUAAAUGAAAGAUCAAAGUCGCAGCCCAUGGCUAAUGUUUGGUUCCCACUGACUUCAUCUGCAGAUUGAAGGACCAUUAAUCCAGGAAGCAGAAACUUCUGACUCUCAUCAUCAUUAAUAAUUUCAUAUUUGAUUAAUUACAGUGCUCUUGUCUCUGCAAUGCAAUAACACAAAGUAAACAGAGAUUGAUACAUAGAGAAACUUAUUUCCAGGUAUCCCUGACAGUCGCAGUCUAAAUUAUAUACUGAUUCCAGACUAUUGUCUUUUACAUAGUUACAUAACAGCGUCUGUUGUAUGCAAGUGUUCUCCUUGUCGUUUAUUCUUUUUAUGGUUAAGGCAUUUUACCCAUACAGGCCAGCAUAAAAAUGCCGAAUUGACCAUUCAGAGCACAGGAUCAGAACAUUGUCUUGCAUAAUACAAUACACACAAUGCUCAGAGGCACUUCUAUCCAAAAUUUAUUGGAUGAGGAAAGAGAAGAAAAAGAACAGCAUUGUAUUACCACACUGGUUAGUAUAAGGCAAUAUAAUGCAUUAUAAAGGCGUCUAUAGCGCAUUAUAAAUGAGAGCUUCAUAAGGCAGUCAUAAUGCAUAAUAAACAUGGCUAUAAUGUAUUAUGCCUUUUUAUAAAUAUUUGUAGUUGGGUCUAUAAUACUUUAUGAAAGCUAUCUAUAAUGCAAUAUACAUGAGUGCUUUAAUAAACUGAUACCCAAAUGACUCAUAAAGAAUACAUGCAGCUGUAAAAUGCAACAGAUAGCAAAGUUGGCAAUAUGAACAUACUGCUGGUCCCACGUCAGUCGGGUGUGGCACCCCCCCGGGCCAGGAAACAUGCAGUGAUGCCGUGCGGAAGGAGGUCAUACAAACAUUGUAUCCUCCCAUAUGGGAAGUUGUCCCGCAGCUGUUGUUUCUGGCCCUCGAGAUCCUGCAGAUUGGUGCUGGAUCUGAGUUGGUGUCUGAGCUAACCCCACAUGUGUUUGAUAGGGGAAAGUUCGGGGGACCUGGCUGGCCAUGGGAGGACCUCAACAUGAUGCAGACAGUCCAUAGACACACGUUCCAUGUGUGGAUGAGCAUUGUCUUGUCAAAAGACUGCACCAUCUCAUGAGCUUCUGUAAUGCUUGCCGCAUAAUACAACGAUCCUCCCUUGAUGUGGUCUGUCUUGGGCGGAACCUUCACGACGUGUGGGUGCCCUCACAUGGCCACUGGUUCCAACAUCGGGCGACUGUGGCAUUAGAUGUGCCAGCUCCUUGCAAAUCAUUUACAUACUCAUCGCUGGUAUGUAUGUGUACCAAAUAACAUCGAAACUGGACUGGGUGCUUGACUUUUUUUGCCACUGAGUGUAGUUGAUUAGUUUGGUUAGUUAAGUAAUUUGAAGUAUGCUUUAGAAAUAGCCAUAACGAUCCUCCCAUAUUGGCCCUUUUUUGCUUCUCGGCCUUUUUUCAGUCCAGGACUGUAAAGCUGCCUAACGAGGGGUAGGUGACAGAUAGAGAGUGUGAUCUUGCUACAUACACAUCUCCAUUAUUGAUAGCUACACUGAGAAGGGCAUGGGUGUUUGCUGGGGGUGGGUGAUGCCCCACAUGUUUGCGGUUUCAGUUUUCUAGCAUUAUCAUUCAGCGUUUGUGAUUCUCUUUGUUGCGUUGCCAGUAUAAAACCUGGGUAGAUGUAGCCUUAUGUGACUCGCUGCAGUGGAGCCCCACUGUUCUUCUGCAAGAAAAAAACAUCAGUCUGUUUUCAUUUUUGUUGUCUAUGCGUGGCUCAGAAUAAUUUUCAGAGGAAAAUCAGACAGAGGGCUUCUCUUGGGGCUCAAUAUCUGGCAUGACGAUAGAUAAUGAAGGCAUGAAGAUUUGUAAAACAAUUUAAUGGCAUUCAGUCAUAUUAAACUUAAAGUUUAAUAUUAAACUUAAACUUAUUCUGUUUGUCUGGUUUCAGCUUUUUUAAUUUUAAAUGUGAAAACUUAAAAACUUCCUUUUCAGGAGCACUGGAAGUGGUAAUAUUGGGCAGUGUAGAAGUGUUCUAGAACAUCCAAGUUUGUGACUGAAGAGAUAAGGGGAAAAGUUAUUUUAAACUUUUAAAGACAGGUUCCAUGAAAACCAUGACGUUACAGAAUGAUUAAUUAUAUUUAAGAUUUACGCUUUCUGUGUAAACAAAUUAAAUAAGAAAGUCCCCAACCUUCAGAAGUUACUGUUAUUUUUAUUUAGUCAAAUUGACAAGAUCAAACAGCAUAUGAAUUUGCUUAUAAACCUCUUGAAACGGUGUGGUGGUGAUGCUACUUGCCAUCGGACACUAAUAUUGUUUUUUCGCUCGGAGAUUCCAUGCAUCACAGCUGCCAAUAUCGUAGCAAAAUGAAAAUGUCACAUUUAAUCAAAGUCAGUCAUGAGCAAUUAGAAACAUGUUAAAUGACUGAAUUCAUCAAUCUAGGAAAUCAUCUACACAUUAUUAAUUUCCUAUUUGCCCUAAAUUUUGAUUAAUUCAAAAAGACACUUUAGUCCUUUUGCUUCCGUUUUUUGUUAGUUACAAGUGAGAAGAUGGUAAGAUUUCUAUUAUUUUUUUCCCAGUAUUGGCUACAUUAUUUGUGUGAUUUACACAAAAGCCAAAAGCAGAUUCAGUGUAUUAAAAGUAAAUGAGAAUCAAUGCAAUAAAAAAGUCAUUUUAAAAUGCUGCACUGAAAUUAUCCUAAUUGAGUCAAAUGCAUAAUAUAUCCACUGUAGAAAUUGCACUCUCUGUGUUUUUAGAUCAGACUUGGAACUAAUGUUAUUCAGAAUAUUACGUAUACAUCUAAUACAAAAAAAAGGAAUGUAACUGAUUACAAAAGCAUGUUAAAUUUUAAUAGCUGAAAAGAAACAAAAAAAAUUAACAAUAAGAUGCAACAUCUAUCAAUCUUUCAUUGACAUUAUAGAUUGCGAAAGGCCCGGUGAAUCCUUUGGGCAACGCAGACGGCAGCCGAGGGCACAAACUUCUGAGGGGGCGUCGACUUACCAGCCAAUUUCACUUUGCCUCGGGCAGGGAGCGCCAGGGGUGAUGCACGCCCGGAGCGGCACAAUGACUAGGACCGGUAGUGGAAUAUGCUAUGAAGCAUUGUGUAUUUGGUGGUGAACGUGUCUGGUAUUAUAAAAAUAAAUCUGAUGAUGUUUUAUUUUUAAUUGAAUACUAAGUCAUAUUUCAAAUACCACAUUGCAUUAGGAUUAACUUGGGGUUAGUGUAGGAAUAUUUGUACAUUGUUGAUAAUACAAUAAUAGUACAUUUACUAAAAAGUAAAAUAUUAUGAAUAAUGUUAAUUCCAUUAUUAGGUAUUUGAUAAAAAUACAUAUAUGCACAUCUUUAUUAUUCGGAAAAACAUUAUUAAGAAUAAAAUAAAGAUGUAAUGCACUUUCUAAGUUUCACAGUGUGUAGUCUGAUAUAGCUUAGUUGCCCCAGAGCAAAUGCAGGAAAGUGCAUAAAAAGUAGAGUUUAUAACUAAACUGCUUCUUAAUAUUUCUAAAGUAACUUUAGUCAUGCUGUUCACCCAUCGUUAUCACAGGCUAAAAAAUGUCUUAUACAGAUAAGAAAACCAAAUAAGAAGCAACUAAAAGUUCUUCAAAUACUCAGUUAAGUUAAAGGUCAUUAUAUGUGCCAUGCCCGGCUAGUCCGCUCCUCCUGUGUGCCACGCCCCCUGCUUACCCACGUGUGCUUCCCUGAUAGUACCCAGCUGUGUCCGUUUACUUUCAAUCAGUCCUGUCUUAUCAGAGUUCGAUGUCUGUCAUUGAUGUUAGUCGAUGUUCGUACCUUCGUCUCGGAUUAAACCCUCGUUUGCCCUGAUUUUCGGCUUCCAGUCCUGUUUGCCUGAUCCUCACCCGCCUACUCGCACGAUCGCCUGUCCGGCUCAACCCUGAACGUGGCAAUAUGUAUUUUUACUCUGACUGCUUGGAAAAUCCAGGGAAAAUGUAAAAAGCAGUGGUUUGGCUUGGUUCAGGUAUUCUGAAAGGAAUACCCAGAUAGUUUUUGGCCGUGUUAGAUCAAUGAAAGAAAUAUGACUUUCAUUGAAUAAUCAAAAAAUACAUUGUAGGAGACAUAUUUGACCCUGAAUGUGCAUGAAUUAGUACGUUGCAUCAUAUCAGUGCUUUUCUAACUUAAGGCAAUGGAUUUCUGCCUGUGGCAAUGAUCUUUCCCUUUUGGGCUUUAAGCAGCUACUGCAGUAGGAGUUAUCUGCAGAAGAUAAAGAGGCAGCAGUAGGGUAACUGGAGGACCAGCACCAUAGGUUGGAUUCUUUUAUGUAAUGGGAGCCCAAAGCCAUAGGCAGGAAAAUACUGAGUGACAAAUGAGACAAACGAGUUUACAAAAUGUGUAAACAGUGAUCAAGGAGUACAGAAGCCAGAGUACCGGGAACUCAAAGUCCAGGAAAUGAUGUGGUGAGCAACAGACUAGGCAGAAAAGAGAGCAGGCAGGGAGCAGGCAAAGACUAAUAACCAGGAAAAAGAAAAGAAUUUAGUGAAGACAGCAGUGCUCUGAAUUUCUCUGAAAUUUCGUAAGGACUGGAGUUAGGCGUCUGUUCACAUUUCGUUAUUGUUCCUGGUAAAUGUAGAUUUACGUUUUGUCCUAUGUGCAUAUUGUAGGAAUAAUUAGCUCAGGUAACUUUCAAUAUGUCCACUAAUCCAUCCAUCCAUCCAUUUUUCAAACUGCUUAUCCUACUGGGUCGCGGGGGGUCCGGAGCCUAUCCCGGAAGCAAUGGGCACGAGGCAGGGAACAACCCAGGACGGGGGGCCAGCCCAUCGCAGGGCACACUCACACACCAUUCACGCACACAUGCACACCUACGGGCAAUUUAGCAACUCCAAUUAGCCUCAGCAUGUUUUUGGACUGUGGGGGGAAACCAGAGUACCUGGAGGAAACCCCAUGACGACAUGGGUUUGGAAAAUGGAUGGAUGGAUGUUAUUUAAUGAUGAUCAUUAACUAAUUGUUAUGCCGAAUGGUCGGCUCCUCCAAACUCAAUUGCGAAUCCCCUUAGUAACCUGGGUUAGUAGGCUCGUCCUGAGAGCUGCAUCACCAGGUAAUGUAAACGAUCGGUAGCGAAGCUCCCCUCACGGCCGAUGAGAGAGAGUCUCACGAUAUUUCAGCCGAGGUUUGAGGUUUCAGAGCGUAGUAGCCAGAUCGCACAGAGGCAGGGACUAUUGUGAGCACUCAAUGAACGGAGGCUGAAGUUGUGUAAAAGACAUGCAUUUAUUCACAACUAACACUACAACUAACAUAAGACAGACAUUACACUUAACACAAACAACAAACACAAAAUAAUGAAAUAGAAACAAACAAUGUAAUUAUGGAAAUGCAAUGACCGGAUUUAAAUGAGUAACCUUAAAAGUGAAAUACUGUUCUGCAAAGCAAGCACAGUUUGUAGAAACACAACCCUAAAGUCAUAAAGCAGAUUAACAGAACAACUUAAGUUAUUCGAUAAGCGGAAGUUGGUUUACUUGGUUGCAGAGUGGGAGGAGGGGGUGUCUUGGCAGUUGGUAGCAGAGGUUGAUGAGCUGAUGGGAUGAUGGCUCUCAGGGAGGCGCGGAGUUUGGAGCGGUUGUUGGAGUGGAGCCCCUUGCAUUCUCCACCCUUAUGAAGUUUUAAGGUGAAAGGCUUUGUCCUGGUUUCAGUUCACUUUUGGGUAGCAGACCAUCACUGGCAGGCUUCAGGAGGGCUUCUUGCGGGCUGCUCUUCUCUCUGGAUUUCUCUUCUCCUCCUGGGCUGAUGUUCUCCCCCUCUUCUCCUUGGGCUCUCCUAGGCUUUGUUCUGAGGUGCCAUGUUUAAAGUUCAUGAAUAGGGAUGACCAGGAAUUUAACAGCUGAACCAAUGGCUGAACAUGUAGUUGACGGGCUUUCGGGGGGGUGUCUGUGGCAGUCCUUUUGGGAUUUAUGACUAGACUAAUUCCCCUUUCCCGAUGAUUUUCAUUAAACUGGUAUAACUUUUGGUAAAUACAGUUUCAUGGUAACCACAGACCAGAUUUGGAAUCAGGAGUGAUUUUCCAUCCGUUUGACACCAAACAUGCCAUACCAGCCUAGCGAUUCACACCUCAUACCAUCUGUAUUAAUUAAUGAAGAAUUUCUUAUAUUAUGUAUGUUAAUGAAUCCCAUCUAUAUACAAUAUUGGUGUUUUACGUUGCACAUCAACAGAGGUAACUACUUUGGAUAAUUUGUACACACACGACAUUGCAUAUUCACAUUGAUGCAGCAUAUCUUAUCCUUAGAUAGGCGUGGCCAUUAGUUUGUGUAAAUUUAACAUCUGGGAACAACAUAUUUUGGUUGGUGCAGCUUAUCCCAAUUGAUCUGCUCUCCAGAAUUUAAAAUGUACAGAUUAAUUCAAUCUUUUACUGCAUAAUAGUAGAGGACAAAGAAAUGCUAGCAGACCACAGAGAUCAGAGAAGGGCCACAGAGGAAUGUUGAAGACAAUGAAACAAAGGAAGAACCUCUGAUAGUUAGGAGACAUUAAGAUACUUGGUUAUUUAAUUUUCAAAAUUCUGGUAUAACCAUGAGAAUAAGUAUGCAGGGGUAGCUAUACAGUACAUAUUUAUUUAUCCAUAUUUAUAUAAGUGUUCGAGUGAGAAGGAUAUAAUAGGUGAUACUCUGUGAAACAUGGUUAUAACUGUGGCACAUACAAACACAACCUAUGUGGAUCUUGAGACUAGUAGUCAUGAGUAAACUAAUAUACAGGGUGUACAAAAGCCGAACUUACAAUAAACUUUCUUUAGGGUGUUGGGUGAGUGGUAUGUAAGGCAGGAUGUAUGGGGAGAUCCACUCUGCUGUCCGUAGGUCCCGAAAUCUUUAGGCCAUAAAACAAACACCCCUUUUGUGCCUGGGCCAGCGAGUACCUCUCAUACCAGGCUGGGCCUUGUCUCAGGCAGCCUCGAAUCUCAGCCCUGUCAUACUGUAUGCAUGUGUGUGAUCCUACACUAUCUAGGCAAUUUUUCAAAUGUCCACUGCCUUUCAUGACAUUUAUAAAAUACUGUCUCAAACGCAGAGUGAAAGCCUCUAUAACUGCCUCCGUUCUGGCACUUUCUUUGCCUUUCCAAUUGUUUCUGUAGCCUGUAGUAUUUGUGACUUGUCUACUGUUGUCUACUCACUGAACUACAACUUUUUGGUGUUCAAUGGAGGUCACUGUGGUAAUGAAAUGUUAGAUGGUUGUAUGACCAUGGAAAGUGUUUACGGAUAGUUUUGAAUUAGCUGGUUUAGGGAUAGUGGCUUUCUAAAAGGUAACCUUCAGAAAAUAUCACCAAGGCUCCCUUGUUCCUCAUUUAUGCCGCCUCUUAAAUGCAGAGCUCUCCUUGCUCAUGCAAAGGAAUAACUAUUCACUGUAACAAAGUGACUGUUUCUAUUGUAAAUAAAAGUAAUUCGUAUUCCACAGGCUGCACUGUGCCUCCAGUUUGGUGCAUGAAUAUGCAUCACAUAAUUUUGGCUGGAAAUUCAUACUUUUUUUUCUCUCUCCUGCUCUCCAACACAGACUCCAGCUCUGCUUUCAAAAACAGUCACAUACAGCCUCCUUUCAUUUGUGUUAGCUGUAGUUAGAGUUCAAUUUCAUGCUAGUUUCUCAGAAUAAAAAUGUUCCUAGUUUAUUUUUAAAAAUUUCUGCCUGCUUCUCAAAGGCAUAAAAAAAAGAUUUUCCCCUCUCCUACUGAUAAUUGUCUUUGUAUUUCUUUUUCAUUCUGCAUUGUCUAUUUUGAGACUUUCCCUCCUCAUACAAAGACUGCUGGAAUUGGAAACUUUCUUCAUAUUGUUCAAAGAUGGUGUAUAAUGAAUCCAUUACAUACGCAUCUGUCUUCA